CGGACGUUACACCUGGUUUUCGCUCAGGUUCUUGGGAAAGCCCAGCGAGGUGCGAGGGGUCCUGAGCGGGCCCACGGUCAAGAUCAACGCUGUCCUGGUGGUAACGGCGCCCGCUCGCCUUCCGCCCGGCCUCGUUGGGACCUCAAAGGCUCUCUGGGAAACGAGCUCUUCUUGAGCUUAUGAUCGGUUUCUGAAUUCUUCAUUUUUCUGUAACGAUCACACUAGCAGAAGUGUGAGAUCGGGAUCUGAUGUUCAUCUGUGCUUAAACUCUGGGUCCACACCUCGGCAGCAUCUCAAGAAAAAAAGUAAACAGAAAUAAAAGGAAACUCUUAACCAGAAUCUUCCAUUUAAUGUUUUUGGACUGGAGUUGACGGGGGGAACCAUGAAAAGUGAAACCACAGACCUUCAUCACAAGACUGAAUAAAAGUAAUAAAAGAGGAUGUCCUUUACUUGGAACUGAACUUUAGGAAACCAUUCAAUAUUUCAUCACGUUCAUGAUUCAGAUGUUAACUUAAUGAUGAAUGGGUAUUGAAAUUUGUCUAAGACUUCUGCAUUUAUUGAAAUGACAUUACUUUUAUUCUCUAUUCAGUCACUAUGAGGAAUUGUAUGGAUUGAUUUUCAAACAUUACAUCAGUUUGCAUUCCAGGAUAAAAUGCUGCUUGAUCAUGAUAUGUUAUCCUUUUUAUAUAUUGUUGGAUUUGAUUUACUAAUACUUUAUUGAGAGUUUUUGUGUCAGCCUGGCCAGUGCAGCUCAGUUGAUUGAGCUUCAUCCCACGCACUGGGAGAUCAGGUAGUUAAUAGUUUAGUUCACGUCAAAUAUGGUGACAGAUACUUUCAAGAGAUUUCUAGUAUUUUUAUGAAGUGACAACUAGUAUUUGAUUUUGUUUCAGCUACUUCAUUUCUACAUGUAAGAACUCACUAUUAGUUUCAUAUUUAUUGGUGAUUCUUUGGUUUACAUUUUAGACUGAACCCAAGUCACACACAUUAGAAUAUCAGGUCCUCUCCCACCCCACCAAAUUUACAGGCCCACCCAAGCUGUUUCCAGUGCCUUUUCCAUAUGAAUAACCUGUCUUAGCUCAUGCUUCAAACUUUCCUAAAAUCUCCAAAUACGCAGCAUCUCACCUCAGCCUUCCCCAUACCUCACUAAAUGAUCCCAGGGCUGGCACUAGCAGCAGCCAGCCGUGGUUCCCUGCUUGGCCUCUCCUGGGCAACUCCAAGCCCAAAACAUAGCAGGAAGCUGCAGAUCACUUUGUAGCUCAAGCUGGGUGGCCCUG